UGCAUACUAAUAUACUAUUGCAAAUCCCAUUUUUGAUUUCAUCAAGCUUCAUGUUCAUCUCUUUGUACAUGGAAAAUAAGAUAAAUACCUGGAAACAAAGCACAAUAAAAGGAAGUGGAGUCAGCAGUGUUAUUAGUGGCAGUAACAGGUAUCAACAUCAGUAAGAUCCCAGCGAUGAGUGAGAAAGACCAAUAAAGACCAAGUUGAAUCCCAAAUAGUAUUACCCAAAAACUGACCCCAGAGACUUAAAUUAUCAGCACGGUUUCUAAUUAUCACUAACUAUCAGCUACUCAAAUUUUGUCCUAAAGUGAAUACCAAGAGAUUUCAAAAGAGGUUUCUAAUGGAAUAGUAGUAUCUUUAGUGUUUUUCUGAUUUUUAGGCUCAAGAUGGUUAUCAGGCAAUAAUUUAUCUAUUUUCCUAUAUUUAUGAAUUGCUUUAGCCUUUCUUUUCUCUUUAG
rnacentral:lncRNA from 1 species